CCAUGACCAUUUGAGAGCAUCGUUAGAAUAUUUGAAUCAAGUAGAAAUAAGUUCCGACAUUUAUUUAAAUGUUAAAGAAAGGGAAUAAUAUAAUUUUCCCAAGUAUAUGGUUGGAAAACAUAUAUAAUGAUUCACCUAUGUUUCUCUCGAUAUUUGCUUUGUCGUGUUCAUUUUGUUUUCGAGAGGAAACUAUCAAAUAUUCGAGAAGAGGAUAACGUGACAUUCUCAUGUGCAAAUGUUAUUCUAACAUUUAUUUUGUUCACACUUUGAAGUAUUUGAAUUUACAAAUUUACUGGAGUUUAUUUAGACUUAAUUGGAGUUAUGAAUCAAAAGUUAUUAAUAAAAACAGAAAUGAAAAAAAGAAGGAAAAAAAAGAGAAUGGACCGACCCAAACUGGGCCGGCCCAUCUCCACCGAGCGCCCAGCCCAGCCGAGCACGAGCUCGUGCUCGUUCUUCCUCUUCACUCCUUCCAUAUUUUAUUUCUUCGAUUUUCUUUCCUUCCCGCGUGUCUCUCUCCGAAAGAAAACCACCCUAUCAAUUC
rnacentral:lncRNA from 1 species